rnacentral:tRNA from 1 species
GGAGAGGUGCCAGAGCGGCCGAAUGGGGCGCCCUGCUAAGGCGUUGCGGGGGUACACCUCGCCGUGGGUUCAAAUCCCACCCUCUCCGCCA